CGAUGAGGUAGAGGCUGCAUAGCAUAAGAGUAAAACUACUGGAGGUUGACACCUAAGAUGGUAGAAAGAAAGGAUGCUGUGCCGAAGCAAUAAGAGCGGUCGAACUCUUAUUGCUGGGGUUAUCUUGAAUAAGGAUAACACUGCCAUUAUGACCGGUACGGACGGUUUCUAUAAUGGAGGGCUACUGAUCGG
rnacentral:ncRNA from 2 species